AGCUGUGUUUGCCAUUUGAACAACACUGCUGUAUUUUGCAUUAAAAAGUGUAUAACAAUAUUCGUCUUGACUUUUAAUUUUGCUAUAAAUGUUUUUGUGUUUUCCCCGAUCACUCGCAAAACAAAUGCAAAGGCAAACACAAAAUCAGUGGGGCUAAGAAUUCGCUUAAUUAGAGGUCAUAGGCUCAACGUGAUCGUGUUUUUAUACGAAAUACUAUGAAGUAUCACCUAAGAUCCAGUUUGGGAAGUUUCUCGAUAUAAUCAGUGUAUUUAUUUUAGCAAUCAAAGGUCGCGCCUGCCUACGAAAUUGGUUCUGCAUUAACCUUGCCGUUGAUAAAUAAUAAAAGCUGACAAAAAAUAAUAACAAAUUUCAAUAAGCGCUAAUGUUAACGAACUUUGUAAACUUAAAGGCAAGGUUACAGCUAAGGCAGACACAGCAACGGCCAGAAAAGCUCCAAAAUUAUACGAGACGUAAAAAGGCAAACUCAAGUGCGCGAACGCUGCGAUGUGUAGUAUAAAGUAUAAAGUCGCAGAGCGUUAAAAAUAAAAUAUAUAAAAUCAGACACGCAACAGCGACGGCUGCCAGCAGUGUUUUCUAUAGAAAACGAAAAUUAUUUCCUGUUUUCAGCCAUAACAGCCGCGCGUGGUGAGAAGUACCAGAUAGUAUAACAGAGCAGGAGGAGUGUGGGUGGGGGCGGGUGUAAUGCUCUCUUCCAUGCAGGGCUAACAGAGGAGAGCGUGCCACAAAACCAAAACGCAAUUGUGCGGGAGGUGGGGUAAGAUGGCAACAGAAAGAGUCACAAAGGUGCUCCCAAACAAUGCGUAAAAAGCGAACAAAAAGAGGGUGAUUGAUAACAAGGUGCGUCUUACAAAUGUUCACUGGCUGCCCGCGACGGAAUACGAAAAUUCUUCAGACCCCCAAUCUAUGAGUAUGGAAAAUGUUAAAAUUAAUAAUGUUUAUGUUUACGUAAUUACUGGAAACAAUAUUUGUAAACAUUACUAAUUACUUAUAUUAAUCGGAAAUGUAAGACGAGAUUUUGUUAGUUUUAAUUUGUUGUCACCACUAUUUUUACAUCAGAAAAUCUAAAAAAACUGUGUAAUUCCCUUAACUUUAGUUAUUUAAGUUUGCUCUACCAAAAUAUAAUAUUUACAAGUUA